CCUAAGGUUCUAUUAAGAACCAUUAAAAAGGUUCUAUAAACUGUAG
rfam:Salmo salar isolate Sally breed double haploid chromosome ssa01, whole genome shotgun sequence.